rnacentral:tRNA from 1 species
CGGGGCGUGGCCUAGUCUGGUAGGGCGCCUGACUGGGGGUCAGGAGAUCGAAGGUUCAAAUCCUUUCGCCCCGA